rnacentral:rRNA from 1 species
UACGUAUGGUGCAAGCGUUAUCCGGAUUUACUGGGUGUAAAGGGAGCGUAGGCGGCCUGGCAAGCCUGAUGUGAAAUACCGGGGCCCAACCCCGGGGCUGCAUUGGGAACUGCCAGGCUGGAGUGCCGGAGAGGCAGGCGGAAUUCCCAGUGUAGCGGUGAAAUGCGUAGAUAUUAGGAGGAACACCAGUGGCGAAGGCGGCCUGCUGGACGGUGACUGACGCUGAGGCUCGAAAGCGUGGGGAGCAAACAGG